UACAGCCAUACCACCUACAGUACAGACUAGGUAUUUCAUCUGAAGGUAAGCAAGUUUGGGCCCGGCUAGUACUUACAUGGGAGAUCAACUAGGAAAGCUGGGUGGCUACUGGGA
rnacentral:rRNA from 1 species